UCAAAAUUAAAACGCAAUACAAUGCAAACUCGUCGGUACGACGGCGCGCUGAGCGUGUUUCGUUUCGUUUCUAUCUGUACGCGAUACGGACCGCAGUGCGGCACGGGGACGACGUCCGUUUUUUAACGCGUUCCGCGCCGGAACGAGAAACAAACAAACCCAAAUACCUAUGCUAACGCGGACGGACGGUAUAUUUAAAUGACGGGGGUUUUUUUUUUC